AUUGAACGCUGGCGGAAUGCUUUACACAUGCAAGUCGAACGGCAGCACGGGGGCAGCCCUGGUGGCGAGUGGCGAACGGGUGAGUAAUACAUCGGAACGUGCCCGGUCGUGGGGGAUAACGUAGCGAAAGUUACGCUAAUACCGCAUACGAUCUGAGGAUGAAAGCGGGGGACCUUCGGGCCUCGCGCGAUCGGAGCGGCCGAUGUCAGAUUAGGUAGUUGGUGGGGUAAAGGCCUACCAAGCCGACGAUCUGUAGCUGGUCUGAGAGGACGACCAGCCACACUGGGACUGAGACACGGCCCAGACUCCUACGGGAGGCAGCAGUGGUGAAUUUUGGACAAUGGGCGCAAGCCUGAUCCAGCCAUGCCGCGUGCAGGACGAAGGCCUUCGGGUUGUAAACUGCUUUUGUACGGAACGAAAAGGCUCUGGCUAAUACCUGGGGCUCAUGACGGUACCGUAAGAAUAAGCACCGGCUAACUACGUG
rnacentral:rRNA from 1 species